GACGAACGCUUGCGGCGUGCCUAAGAAAUGCAAGUCGAACGAGGCUCCUCCUUUUCUUCGGAUUGGGAGGAUGUCCUAGUGGCGAACGGUCGAGUAACACGUGAGCAACCUGCCCUGCAGACGGGGACAAUCCCGGGAAACUGGGGCUAAUACCCGAUGUUGUCGUUUUGGGGCAUCCCGAGACGACCAAAUGGAGCAAUCCGCUGCAGGAUGGGCUCGCGGCCUAUUAGGUAGUUGGUGAGGUAGCGGCCCACCAAGCCGACGAUGGGUAGCUGGCCUGAGAGGGUGGUCAGCCGGAUUGGGACUGCGACACGGCCCAGACUCCUACGGGAGGCAGCAAUUAGGAAUUUUGCGCAAUGGGGGAAACCCUGACGCAGCGACGCCGCGUGGUCGAUGAAGCCUUUCGGGGUGUAAAGGCCUUUUCUGGGGGAAGAAGACAGUGACGGUACCCCAGGAAUAAGCUCCGGCUAACUACGUGCCAGCAGCCGCGGUAAGACGUAGGGAGCGAGCGUUGUCCGAAUUUACUGGGCGUAAAGCGCACGCAGGCGGGUUCGUAAGUUGGUGGUGAAAUCCCACGGCUCAACCGUGGAACUGCCUCCAAAACUGCGAGCCUAGAGUGCGGAAGAGGGGAGUGGAAUUCCUGGUGUAGCGGUGAAAUGCGUAGAUAUCAGGAGGAACACCCGUGGCGAAGGCGGCUCCCUGGUCCGCUACUGACGCUGAGGUGCGAAAGCGUGGGGAGCGAACGGGAUUAGAUACCCCGGUAGUCCACGCCGUAAACGAUGGAUACUAGGUGUAGGAGGUAUCGAUCCCUUCUGUGCCGUAGCUAACGCAUUGAGUAUCCCGCCUGGGGAGUACGGCCGCAAGGCUGAAACUCAAAGGAAUUGACGGGACCCCGCACAAGCGGUGGAGCGUGUGGAUCAAUUCGUCACAAAGCGAAGAACCUUACCCAGGCUUGACAUCCCGGGAAUCCCGUCGAAAGGCGGGAGUGCCCUUCGGGGAGCCCGGAGACAGGUGUUGCAUGGCUGUCGUCAGCUCGUGUCGUGAGAUGUUGGGUUAAGUCCCGCAACGAGCGCAACCCUCAUCCUGUGUUGCCAGCGUAUAAAGUCGGGAACUCUCAGGAAACUGCCCGCGUAGAGUGGGAGGAAGGUGGGGAUGACGUCAAGUCGGCAUGGCCCUUACGCCUGGGGCGUCACACACGCUACAAUGGCCGGUACAGAGGGCUGCCAAGGGGUGACCCGGAGCUAAUCCCAAAAAGCCGGCCUCAGUUGGGAUCGGAGUCUGCAACUCGACUCCGUGAACGCGGAAUCGCUAGUAACCGCCGGUCAGCCAUACGGCGGUGAAUACGUUCCCGGGGUUUGUACACACCGCCCGUCAUACCACCCGAGUCGGCUGCACCCGAAGUCGCUGAGCCAACCUUUUUUUGGAGGCAGGCGCCGAAGGUGUGUCCGGUAAGGAGGGU
rnacentral:rRNA from 1 species